UGGAACGAAGAUUCAGGAGCCGGGU
rnacentral:piRNA from 1 species